GAUGAACGCUGGCGGCGUGCCUAAUACAUGCAAGUCGAGCGAACAGACGAGGAGCUUGCUCCUCUGACGUUAGCGGCGGACGGGUGAGUCACACGUGGAUAACCUACCUAUAAGACUGGGAUAACUUCGGGAAACCGGCGAUAAUACCGGAUAAUAUAUUGAACCGCAUGGUUCAAUAGUGAAAGACGGUUUUGCUGUCACUUAUAGAUGGAUCCGCGCCGCAUUAGCUAGUUGGUAAGGUAACGGCCUACCAAGGCAACGAUGCGUAGCCGACCGGAGAGGGUGAUCGCCCACACUGGAGCUGAGACACGGUCCAGGCGCCUACGGGAGGCAGCAGUAGGGAAUCUGCCGCAAUGGUCGAAAGCCUGACGGAGCAACGCCGCGUGAGUGAUGAAGGUCUUCGGAUCGUAAAACUCUGUUAUGAGGGAAGAACAAAUGUGUAAGUAACUAUGCACGUCUUGACGGUACCUAAUCAGAAAGCCACGGCUAACUACGUG
rnacentral:rRNA from 1 species